ACUUAAAUCUCCAAAAUUCCCAACAUACCCCUCCACAUUUGUAUCUCCACUGCCUCUUCACGACUUCCACCUUCUUGCAAACCCAUCCUUAUCCCAUCAUCUUCUCUGCAAUUAUCCACCAUCUUCUCUGUAGUUGGCUUGAAGCGACCGGAUCUGGUCUUCUUCUCGUCUUCCUUGAAGGGGCUAUUUCCGUAUGCCCAGUAAUAUGUACUUGGCCUUCACUUACAACCAACAGAUCUGGUCUUCUUCUCGUCCUCAACAGCCCUACAUUUAACGGCAGAUCUGGUCUUCUCGUCCUCAACAACCCAUUAUUGGGAAAUGGCAGGUUUUCGGUUCGAAGUCGCCGCAUCGUUUCUUUUUGUCUCCCUUCCGUUUCCCUCUUUGUUAUUUUUCAUCAAUUUUUCUUUAAAUAUUAUCGUACUAAGAAUUUGAGGAUGAAUUCAAGGUAUUAGAUCAGUUUAUGGUUCA